GACGAACGCUGGCGGCGUGCCUAAUACAUGCAAGUAGAACGCACAGUUUAUACCGUAGCUUGCUACACCAUAGACUGUGAGUUGCGAACGGGUGAGUAACGCGUAGGUAACCUGCCUGGUAGCGGGGGAUAACUAUUGGAAACGAUAGCUAAUACCGCAUAAUAUUAAUUAUUGCAUGAUAAUUAAUUGAAAGGUGCAAUUGCACCACUACCAGAUGGACCUGCGUUGUAUUAGCUAGUAGGUGAGGUAACGGCUCACCUAGGCGACGAUACAUAGCCGACCUGGGAGGGUGGACGGCCACACUGGGACUUGGAAACGGCCCAGACUCCCACGGGGGGCAGCAGUAAGGAAACUUUGGCAAUGGACGAAAGGCUGACCGAGCAACGCCGCGUGAGUGAAGAAGGUUUUCGGAUCGGAAAGCUCUGUUGUAAGAGAAGAACGGGUGGGAGAGUGAAAAGUGCACACUGUGACGGUAUCUUACCAGAAAGGCACGGCUAACUACGUG
rnacentral:rRNA from 1 species